ensembl:snRNA U6 U6 spliceosomal RNA
AGAAAGAAAAAUUAGAAUGAUACAGAGAAGAUUAGUGUGGCCCCUUUGUAAUGAUGACACACAAAUUCAUGAAGUGGUCUAUAUUUAA